AGUGAACGCUGGCGGUAGGCCUAACACAUGCAAGUCGAACGGCAGCACAGUAAGAGCUUGCUCUUACGGGUGGCGAGUGGCGGACGGGUGAGGAAUACAUCGGAAUCUACUUUUUCGUGGGGGAUAACGUAGGGAAACGUACGCUAAUACCGCAUACGACCUACGGGUGAAAGCAGGGGAUCUUCGGACCUUGCGCGAUUGAAUGAGCCGAUGUCGGAUUAGCUAGUUGGCGGGGUAAAGGCCCACCAAGGCGACGAUCCGUAGCUGGUCUGAGAGGAUGAUCAGCCACACUGGAACUGAGACACGGUCCAGACUCCUACGGGAGGAAGCAGUGGGGAAUAUUGGACAAUGGGCGCAAGCCUGAUCCAGCCAUACCGCGUGGGUGAAGAAGGCCUUCGGGUUGUAAAGCCCUUUUGUUGGGAAAGAAAAGCAGCAGGUUAAUACCCCGCUGUUCUGACGGUACCCAAAGAAUAAGCACCGGCUAACUUCGUG
rnacentral:rRNA from 1 species